rnacentral:tRNA from 1 species
GGGGACGUGGCGGAAUUGGUAUACGCGCAAGGCUUAGGACCUUGUGGUAGCAAUACUGUGAGAGUUCGAAUCUCUCCGUCCCCA